UACAGAGGGUGCGAGCGUUGUUCGGAAUUAUUGGGCGUAAAGGGCGCGUAGGCGGUGCGGUAAGUCACGUGUGAAAUCUCCUGGCUCAACUGGGAGCUUGCAGGCGAAACUGCCGUGCUGGAGUGUGGGAGAGGUGCGUGGAAUUCCUGGUGUAGCGGUGAAAUGCGUAGAUAUCAGGAGGAACACCUGUGGCGAAAGCGGCGCACUGGACCACAACUGACGCUGAGGCGCGAAAGCUAGGGGAGCAAACAGG
rnacentral:rRNA from 1 species